CCUACGUGAGGCUGCAGUGGGGAAUAUUGGACAAUGGGGGGAACCCUGAUCCAGCGACGCCGCGUGAGUGAAGAAGUAUUUCGGUAUGUAAAGCUCUAUCAGCAGGGAAGAAAGAAAUGACGGUACCUGACUAAGAAGCCCCGGCUAACUACGUGCCAGCAGCCGCGGUAAGACGGAGGGGGCAAGCGUUAUCCGGAUUUACUGGGUGGAAAGGGAGCGUAGACGGCGAUGCAAGUCUGAAGUGAAAGGCGGGGGCCCAACCCCCGGACUGCUUGGGAAACUGUAUGGCUGGAGUGCAGGAGAGGUAAGUGGAAUUCCUAGUGUAGCGGUGAAAUGCGUAGAUAUUAGGAGGAACACCAGUGGCGAAGGCGGCUUACUGGACUGUAACUGACGUUGAGGCUCGAAAGCGUGGGGAGCAAACAGGAUUAGAUACCCGGGUAGUC
rnacentral:rRNA from 1 species